UUGGAGAAGCCCCAAGGCCGGCAGACACGCAGAGCCCCAGGAUUAACCGCACCACCGCCUCCCCUGCCCCCGGCGCGCGCGCGCGCACCCGACGCCCCGCCUGCUGCGAUCACAGCAAUGCCUCUCCCCCCGCCGCCGGCCGCCGGCAGCAGGGGGCGGUGCGUGCUCAGCUUCGCCGCGGCGCGGGACCGCUGCUUCAGCCGCCGCUUCCUCAGGGCGGGGCUCCGCCCGCUCGCCAUCCCGCUCCCCGCGGGGCUCGACCCGGCCCAAGCCGCCGCCACCGUCCACAUCUGGGUGCCGUCCAGGCCGCCGCGGAACCCGCUCCUCCUCCUCCACGGCUUCGGCGCCUCCGCCACCUGGCAGUGGGCGCCCUACCUCCGCCCGCUCAUCGCCGCCGGCUUCGACCCCAUCGUGCCCGACCUCGUCUUCUUCGGCGGCUCCUGCACCCGCCUCCCCGACCGCUCCGACGCCUUCCAGGCGUCCACGAUCAAGGCGGCCAUGGACGCCAUCGGGAUCCCCAGGUUCGGGCUGGUCGGGGUCAGCUACGGCGGCUUCGUCGGCUACCGGAUGGCGGCCAUGUUCCCGGAGGCGGUCGAGAGGGUGGCCAUGAUCUGCGCCGGGGUGUGCCUCGAGGAGAAGGACCUGGCGGAGGGGCUGUUCCCGGUGGCCGGGGUCGGGGAGGCAGCGGCGCUGCUCGUGCCGCGGCGGCCGGAGGAGGUGCGCCGGCUCGUCAGGCUCACCUUCGUGCGACCGCCGCUCAUCAUGCCGUCCUGCUUCCUCUGGGAUUACAUCAAGGUGAUGGGCUCGGUCCAUAUCCAGGAGAAGACUGAGCUGCUAUAUGCUUUGAUUAACGGGAGACAACUCUCGACUCUUCCAAAACUGACUCAGCCGACGCUUAUAAUCUGGGGGGAGCAAGAUCGGGUGUUCCCGAUGGAGCUGGCUCACAGAUUGAACCGGCAUCUAGAGGGGAAUUCUCGAUUGGUUGUCAUAAAAAACGCUGGGCACGCAGUCAAUCUUGAGAAGCCCAAGGAGGUGUGCAAGAACGUCAUCGAGUUUUUCAAAGAGCCGGCCGCUGAAGCUGCAAAGGGAGACGACAAGGUCCGGAAAAUUUUGCAUUGAUCUCUAGGACCAAUUUCUGACUAGCUCAAUCCCUCGACAGUCAUAUGCUGCGGUGAUUAAGUUGAUAUGCUCAGUCAUAUGUUGGCACGGUUCCUGCGGCGUACUAUCUUGUAUAGAUAGCUUCACCAAUGGCGGACAGGUCGUCGCUUGCAUCUGCAGAUCCGCUUGUGGCACGCAAAUGAGGACGGGUAGAUGUGUGGCAUGAGUGCUCUCCGCCAUUGUUCGCUGUAGUGCUAGAUUCAACGCGGGAGCCAUUCACAAGCAUGUAACGGAAAACACUGCAAACCAAAGUGACUCGGGUGCCAGUGAAAUCCUGUGUUAUCGCCUGUUCUCGCGUCGCAUAUGCCUGUCGCGCGCUUUGGCCA